rnacentral:rRNA from 1 species
GACAGAGGUGCCGAGCGUUAGGCGGAAUCACUGGGCUUAAAGCGUGUGUAGGCGGACUUCUAAGUACCUUGUGAAAUCCCACGGCUUAACCGUGGAACUGCUUGGUAUACUGGUUGUCUUGGGCCACUUAGGGGCUACCGGAACAAACGGUGGAGCGGUGAAAUGCGUAGAUAUCGUUUGGAACGCCAAUGGUGAAAACAGGUAGCUGGGGAGUGUGCCGACGCUGAGACACGAAAGCCGGGGAGCGAACGGGG